rnacentral:rRNA from 1 species
UACGAAGGGGGCUAGCGUUGUUCGGAAUUACUGGGCGUAAAGCGCGCGCAGGCGGUCUUCCAAGUCAGUGGUGAAAGCCCGGAGCUCAACUCCGGAAAUGCCAUUGAAACUGUGAGACUUGAGGAUGAGAGAGGUGAGUGGAAUUCCCAGUGUAGAGGUGAAAUUCGUAGAUAUUCGGAAGAACACCAGUGGCGAAGGCGACUUACUGGACACAUAUUGACGCUGAGGUGCGAAAGCGUGGGGAGCAAACAGG